rnacentral:rRNA from 1 species
GACGAACGCUGGCGGCGUGCUUAAGACAUGCAAGUCGAACGGUAAGGCCCUUCAGGGUACACGAGUGGCGAACGGGUGAGUAACACGUGGGUGAUCUGCCCUGCACUUCGGGAUAAGCCUGGGAAACUGGGUCUAAUACCGGAUAGGACCACUGCCUGCAUGGGUGGGGGUGGAAAGCUUUUGCGGUGUGGGAUGGGCCCGCGGCCUAUCAGCUUGUUGGUGGGGUGAUGGCCUACCAAGGCGACGACGGGUAGCCGGCCUGAGAGGGUGACCGGCCACACUGGGACUGAGAUACGGGCCAGACUUCUACGGGCGGCAGCAGUGGGGAAUAUUGCACAAUGGGCGCAAGCCUGAUGCAGCGACGCCGCGUGAGGGAUGACGGCCUUCGGGUUGUAAACCUCUUUCAGCACCGACGAAGCGCAAGUGACGGUAGGUGCAGCAGAAGGACCGGCCAACUACGUGCCAGCCGCCGCCGUAAAAC